rnacentral:rRNA from 1 species
GGGGAUAACAGGCUGAUACCGCCCAAGAGUUCAUAUCGACGGCGGUGUUUGGCACCUCGAUGUCGGCUCAUCUCAUCCUGGGGCUGAAGCAGGUCCCAAGGGUAUGGCUGUUCGCCAUUUAAAGAGGUACGCGAGCUGGGUUUAGAACGUCGUGAGACAGUUCGGUCCCUAUCUACCGUGGGCGUUGGAAAUUUGAGAGGAUCUGCUCCUAGUACGAGAGGACCAGAGUGGACGAACCUCUGGUGUUCCGGUUGUUUCGCCAGAAGCAUCGCCGGGUAGCUACGUUCGGAUGGGAUAACCGCUGAAAGCAUCUAAGCGGGAAGCCCACCUCAAGAUGAGAUUUCCCUAAAGAGCCGUUGUAGACGACGACGUUGAUAGGUUGGGUGUGGAAGUGUAGUGAUACAUGUAGCUAACCAAUACUAAUUGCUCGUUUGGCUUGACCAU